rnacentral:pre_miRNA from 1 species
UCGCUUUUGGACAUAAAGAUGACCUUGACACAGGCACUGACUCUUUCUUCUUUGUAGUAAGUGUUACAUGUUGGGGUAAUUUUGGUGU